rnacentral:rRNA from 1 species
AGUGAACGCUGGCGGUAGGCCUAACACAUGCAAGUCGAACGGCAGCACAGUAAGAGCUUGCUCUUACGGGUGGCGAGUGGCGGACGGGUGAGGAAUACAUCGGAAUCUACUUUUUCGUGGGGGAUAACGUAGGGAAACUUACGCUAAUACCGCAUACGACCUACGGGUGAAAGCAGGGGAUCUUCGGACCUUGCGCGAUUGAAUGAGCCGAUGUCGGAUUAGCUAGUUGGCGGGGUAAAGGCCCACCAAGGCGACGAUCCGUAGCUGGUCUGAGAGGAUGAGGAGCCGCAGUGGAGCUGAGACAGGGUGCAGGCGGCUGCGGGAGGCAGCAGUGGGGAAUAUUGGACAAUGGGCGCAAGCCUGAUCCAGCCAUACCGCGUGGGUGAAGAAGGCCUUCGGGUUGUAAAGCCCUUUUGUUGGGAAAGAAAAGCAGCAGGUUAAUACCCCGCUGUUCUGACGGUACCCAAAGAAUAAGCACCGGCUAACUUCGUG